rnacentral:rRNA from 1 species
UACGUAGGCACCAAGCGUUGUCCGGAUUUAUUGGGCGUAAAGAGCUCGUAGGCGGUUCAGUAAGUCAGGUGUGAAAUCUUUGGGCUUAACCCAAAGCGUGCAUUUGAUACUGCUGUGACUUGAGUUCGGUAGGGGAGUGGGGAAUUCCUAGUGUAGCGGUGAAAUGCGCAGAUAUUAGGAGGAACACCGGGUGGCGAAGGCGCCACUCUGGGCCGAAACUGACGCUGAGGAGCGAAAGCGUGGGUAGCAAACAGG